GUCUAUGGCCAUACCACCCUGAACACACCUGAUCUCGUCUGAUCUCGGAAGCUAAGCAGGGUUGGGCCUAGUUAGUAUGUGGAUGGGAGAAUUGUCAUUUCUUCGACAUCGUCCUCU
rnacentral:rRNA from 1 species